UUGGGCCUACGGGGGGCAGCAGUGGGGGAUAUUGCACAAUGGGGGAAACCCUGAUGCAGCGACGCCGCGUGAGCGAUGAAGUAUUUCGGUAUGUAAAGCUCUAUCAGCAGGGAAGAAAAUGACGGUAGCUAAGGAGCAAGCCACGGCUAACUACGUGCCAGCAGCCGCGGUAAUACGUAGGUGGCAAGCGUUGUCCGGAAUUACUGGGUGUAAAGGGAGCGCAGGCGGGAAGCCAAGUCAGCUGUGAAAACUACGGGCUUAACUUGUAGACUGCAGUUGAAACUGGGUUUCUUGAGUGAAGUAGG
rnacentral:rRNA from 1 species